rnacentral:RNase_P_RNA from 1 species
GGAGCAGGCGAGGCGGUCGCUCCUUCUUCUGAGGAAGAAGGGGAGGAAAGUCCGAACUCCACAGGGCAGGAUGGUCGCUAACCGCGACUCCGGGCAACCGGGGGAAAGUGCCACAGAAAACAUACCGCCAGCUUCUAUUAGAAGCUGGUAAGGGUGAAAAGGUGAGGUAAGGGCUCACCGCUCUGCUGGUGACAGCAGAGGCAGGGCAAACCCCAUCCGGAGCAAGACCAAAUUGACCCCGCUUGAGGAUGGCCCGUCCGAUGGGGUGGGUAGGUCGCUAAACAGGCUGAGCAAUCAGCCCGUAAGACAAAUGACCGCCGCUGCCUCAGGCAGUAACUGAAUUCGGCUUAUGCCCUGCUCCGGCC